rnacentral:rRNA from 1 species
GAUGAACGCUGGCGGCGUGCCUAAUACAUGCAAGUCGAGCGAAUGGAUUAAGAGCUUGCCCUUAUGAAGUUAGCGGCGGACGGGUGAGUAACACGUGGGUAACCUGCCCAUAAGACUGGGAUAACUCCGGGAAACCGGGGCUAAUACCGGAUAACAUUUUGAACCGCAUGGUUCGAAAUUGAAAGGCGGCUUCGGCUGGCACUUAUGGAUGGACCCGCGUCGCAUUAGCUAGUUGGUGAGGUAACGGCUCACCAAGGCAACGAUGCGUAGCCGAGCUGAGAGGGUGAUCGGCCACACUGGGACUGAGACACGGCCCAGACUCCUACGGGAGGCAGCAGUAGGGAAUCUUCCGCAAUGGACGAAAGUCUGACGGAGCAACGCCGCGUGAGUGAUGAAGGCUUUCGGGUCGUAAAACUCUGUUGUUAGGGAAGAACAAGUGCUAGUUGGAUAAGCUGGCACCUUGACGGUACCUAACCAGAAAGCCACGGCUAACUACGUGCCAGCCGCCGCAGUAA